rnacentral:rRNA from 1 species
UACGGGGGGAGCAAGCGUUGUUCGGAUUUACUGGGCGUAAAGGGCGCGUAGGCGGUCACGUACAGUCAGUUGUGAAAUCUCUGGGCUUAACUCAGAACGGUCAACUGAUACUGUCGGACUAGAGUGCAGAAGGGGCAACUGGGAAUUCUCGGUGUAGCGGUGAAAUGCGUAGAUAUCGAGAGGAACACCUGCGGCGAAGGCGGGUUGCUGGGCUGACACUGACGGCUGGAGGCGCGAAAGCUAGGGGAGCGAACGGG